AAAAGAAUUCUUUUGCAGCGCUUAAUUGCGCGGCGAAAACCUUACACACUAUGUUUUUUUAAUUUGAAACUAUUGCUUUGGUCUGGCUUAGAAAUAGGUUGGGCCAAAGGUUUUAUCAAAACUUCAAUAUUUAUUAUUGAAUUGUUAUUUUUAAUUUUAUGUCAAUUUGUUGAUUAAUAUCAAAAAUCUUCAAAACUUUCAACAACGGAUCUCUUGGUUCUCGCAUCGAUGAAGAACGCAGCGAAAUGCGAUAAGUAAUAUGAAUUGCAGAUUUUCGUGAAUCAUCGAAUCUUUGAACGCACAUUGCGCCCUUUGGUAUUCCAAAGGGCAUGCCUGUUUGAGCGUCAUUUCUCUCUCAAAUCUUCGGAUUUGGUUUUGAGUGAUACUCUUAGUCAGACUAAGCGUUUGCUUGAAAUGUAUUGGCAUGAGUGGUACUAGAUAGUGCUGAACUGUUUUCAAUGUAUUAGGUUUAUCCAACUCAUUGACCAGUAAAGUAUUUGUUUAUUACACAGGCUCGGCCUUACAACAACAAACAAAGUUUGACCUCAAAUCAGGUAGGACUACCCGCUGAACUUAAGCAUAUCAUAAGCCGGGGAAGGAA
rnacentral:rRNA from 1 species